rnacentral:rRNA from 1 species
UACGUAGGGGGCUAGCGUUGUCCGGAAUCAUUGGGCGUAAAGAGCGUGUAGGCGGCCCGGUAAGUCCGCUGUAAAAGUCAAAGGCUCAACCUUUGAAUGUCAGUGGAUACUGCCGGGCUAGGGUCCGGAAGAGGCGAGUGGAACUCCUGGUGUAGCGGUGGAAUGCGCAGAUAUCAGGAAGAACACCAACGGCGAAGGCAGCUCGCUGGGACGGUACUGACGCUGAGACGCGAAAGCGUGGGGAGCGAACAGG